rnacentral:rRNA from 1 species
UACCUACGGGAGGCAGCAGUGAGGAAUAUUGGUCAAUGGCCGAGAGGCUGAACCAGCCAAGUCGCGUGAGGGAUGACGGCCCUACGGGUUGUAAACCUCUUUUGUCGGGGAGCAAGACCCGCCACGAGUGGCGGAGCGAGAGUACCCGAAGAAAAAGCAUCGGCUAACUCCGUGCCAGCAGCCGCGGUAAUACGGAGGAUGCUAGCGUUAUCCGGAUUUUUUGGGUUUAAAGGGUGCGUAGGCGGUCCGUUAAGUC